rnacentral:lncRNA from 1 species
UAUUACUUGAAUCACAAGUGUGCUGCUGCAGACGCUUCUUGUAGUUUCCUGACUCUCCGAUGUAAACACUCUUGCAGUCUGCUCAAGGUAUAUAGUAAACUACACUGGGGAAAUGCUCCCUGGGCAGGCGAUCCUUCACUCUCAUAAGUUG